rnacentral:rRNA from 1 species
GAUGAACGCUGGCGGCGUGCCUAAUACAUGCAAGUCGAGCGAACAGACGAGGAGCUUGCUCCUCUGACGUUAGCGGCGGACGGGUGAGUAACACGUGGAUAACCUACCUAUAAGACUGGGAUAACUUCGGGAAACCGGAGCUAAUACCGGAUAAUAUAUUGAACCGCAUGGUUCAAUAGUGAAAGACGGUUUUGCUGUCACUUAUAGAUGGAUCCGCGCCGCAUUAGCUAGUUGGUAAGGUAACGGCUUACCAAGGCAACGAUGCGUAGCCGACCUGAGAGGGUGACCGGCCACACUGGAACGGAGACACGGUCCAGACUCCUACGGGAGGCACCAGUAGGGAAUCUUCCGCAAUGGGCGAAAGCCUGACGGAGCAACGCCGCGUGAGUGAUGAAGGUCUUCGGAUCGUAAAACUCUGUUAUUAGGGAAGAACAAAUGUGUAAGUAACUAUGCACGUCUUGACGGUACCUAAUCAGAAAGCCACGGCUAACUACGUG